rnacentral:rRNA from 1 species
CCUACGGGGGGCAGCAGUAGGGAAUCUUCGGCAAUGGACGGAAGUCUGACCGAGCAACGCCGCGUGAGUGAAGAAGGUUUUCGGAUCGUAAAGCUCUGCUGUAAGAGAAGAACGAGUGUGAGAGUGGAAAGUUCACACUGUGACGGUAUCUUACCAGAAAGGGACGGCUAACUACGUGCCAGCAGCCGCGGUAAUACGUAGGUCCCGAGCGUUGUCCGGAUUUAUUGGGCGUAAAGCGAGCGCAGGCGGUUAGAUAAGUCUGAAGUUAAAGGCUGUGGCUUAACCAUAGUACGCUUUGGAAACUGUUUAACUUGAGUGCAAGAGGGGAGAGUGGAAUUCCAUGUGUAGCGGUGAAAUGCGUAGAUAUAUGGAGGAACACCGGUGGCGAAAGCGGCUCUCUGGCUUGUAACUGACGCUGAGGCUCGAAAGCGUGGGGAGCAAACAGGAUUAGAUACCCCUGUAGUC